rnacentral:rRNA from 1 species
UACGGAGGUGGCAAGCGUUGCUCGGAUUUACUGGGUGUAAAGGGCGUGUAGGCGGUUUCGUAAGCCCCACUUAAAAGGCUCUGGCUCAACCAAAGCUUGUGGUGGGGGACUGCGAAACUUGAGGGUGGAAGAGGUGAGCGGAACUCCCGGUGUAAGGGUGAAAUCUGUAGAGAUCGGGAAGAACACCAGUGGCGAAAGCGGCUCACUAGGCCACCCCUGACGCUGAGAUGCGAAAGCUAGGGGAGCAAACAGG